GAUGAACGCUGGCGGCGUGCCUAAUACAUGCAAGUCGAGCGAACAGACGAGGAGCUUGCUCCUCUGACGUUAGCGGCGGACGGGUGAGUAACACGUGGAUAACCUACCUAUAAGACUGGGAUAACUUCGGGAAACCGGAGCUAAUACCGGAUAACAUGUUGGACCGCAUGGUUCAACAGUGAAAGACGGUCUUGCUGUCACUUAUAGAUGGAUCCGCGCCGCAUUAGCUAGUUGGUAAGGUAACGGCUUACCAAGGCAACGAUGCGUAGCCGACCUGAGAGGGUGAUCGGCCACACUGGAACUGAGACACGGUCCAGACUCCUACGGGAGGCAGCAGUAGGGAAUCUUCCGCAAUGGGCGAAAGCCUGACGGAGCAACGCCGCGUGAGUGAAGAAGGUCCUCGGAUCGUAAAACUCUGUUAUUAGGGAAGAACAAAUGUGUAAGUAACUAUGCACGUCUUGACGGUACCUAAUCAGAAAGCCACGGCUAACUACGUG
rnacentral:rRNA from 1 species